GAAAGUAAAGAAGGGCGCAUGGCGGAUGCCUUGGCUCUCGGAGGCGAUGAAGGACGUGAUAAGCUGCGAUAAGCUUUGGGGAGGUGCAAAUGACCUUUGAUCCAGAGAUUUCCGAAUGGGACAACCCAAUAUCUUGAAGAGGUAUUAUCCAACGUUGUUGGAGGCUAACGCAGGGAACUGAAACAUCUUAGUACCUGCAGGAAAAGAAAAUAAACAAUGAUUCCCCCAGUAGUGGCGAGCGAACGGGGAACAGCCCAAACCAUCCAUGUUACGGCAUGGGUGGGGUUGUAGGACUACGCCGUUGCAUGAAGACAUCAGAGAAGAACUUUCUGGAAAGAAAGACCAUAGAGCAUGACAGUUGCGUAUUCGAAUGUUGUCGAAGCAUAGUAGUAUCCUGAGUAGCGCGGAGCACGAGGAAUUCUGCGUGAAUCUGCCGGGACCAUCCGGUAAGGCUAAAUACUCCCGAGAGACCGAUAGCGAACCAGUACCGUGAGGGAAAGGUGAAAAGCACUUCGAACAGAAGAGUGAAAUAGUUCCUGAAACCGUGCGCCUACAAGCGGUCGGAGCUCGUUAAUGAGUGACGGCGUGCCUUUUGCAUAAUGAACCUACGAGUUGCCUUUGCCGGCAAGGUUAAGUGUGACGACACACGUAUCCGAAGCGAAAGCGAGUCUGAACAGGGCGUAUAGUCGGCAGUGGCAGACGCGAAACCAAGUGAUCUACCCUUGGCCAGGUUGAAGGCUGGGUAACACCAGCUGGAGGACCGCACCAAUAAGCGUUGAAAAGCUUCUGGAUGAGCUGAGGGUAGGGGUGAAAGGCUAAUCAAACUUGGAGAUAGCUCGUACUCCCCGAAAUGCAUUUAGGUGCAGCCUCGCGGGUUACUGAUGUGAGGUAGAGCGACUGAUUGGAUGCGAGGGCUUCACCGCCUAUCAAGUCCUGACAAACUCCGAAUGCGCAUCAGUUCUACCGCAGGAGUGAGGGCAUGGGUGCUAAGGUCCGUGCCCGAGAGGAGAAGAAUCCGGACCACCGGCUAAGGUCCCGAAAUGACAGCUAAGUUAAACUAACGAAGUCUGAUUGCUAAGACAGCUAGGAUGUUGGCUUGGAAGCAGCCAUUCAUUUAAAGAGUGCGUAACAGCUCACUAGUCGAGGAAUCGGGCGUGGAUAAUAAUCGGGUAUUAAGUUGUCUGCCGAAGCUAUAGAAUCAGCAAUGAUUGGUAGGGGAGCAUUCCAUUCUGCGUUGAAGGCGUGGCGUGAGCCAUUCUGGAGCGUAUGGAAAAGCAAAUGUAGGUAUAAGUAACGAUAAAGGGGGUGAGAAACCCCCUCGCCGAAAGACUAAGGUUUCCUGAUCAACGCUAAUCGGAUCAGGGUAAGUCGGGUCCUAAGGUUCAGCCGAACGGCGAGACCGAUGGCAGAAACGGUUAAUAUUCCGUUACUACCUUUGAGGGUGACGUGGGGACGCAGGAGUGACACCGCCGCCGGCUGACGGAAUAGCCGGUUAAAGAGUGUAGACGUUGAUUUCCGCAGGCAAAUCCACGGAAAGAGUCGAACUUGACAGUAUGGAACGUCCUUCGGGACAAUCCAAUAGUGCGGGUAAGCAGACUGCCUAGAAAAUCCGCUAAACAUAACUUCAGAGGUACCCGUACCGCAAACGGACACACGUAGUCGGGUUGAAUAUACUAAGGCGCUUGAGUGAAUCACGGUUAAGGAACUAGGCAAACUGACCCUGUAACUUCGGGAUAAAGGGUCCCUACCCAGAAAUGGGAGGGCGCAGAGAAUAGGUCCAGGCAACUGUUUAACAAAAACACAGGGCUGUGCCAAUAUGAAAGUAGACGUAUACAGCCUGACACCUGCCCGGUGCUGGAAGGUUAAGAGGAGAUGUCAUCGCAAGAGAAGCAUUGAAUUGAAGCCCCAGUAAACGGCGGCCGUAACUAUAACGGUCCUAAGGUAGCGAAAUUCCUUGUCGGGUAAGUUC
rnacentral:rRNA from 1 species